CCGUGCUAGGUGGGGAGUUAGCGGUGCCCUGAACCUGCAACCCGCUCUAGCAGGACCGAAUUCCACCCUGAGGUGUUUAGCGCUCGUGUUCGGAUCGCCAUGGGAAAAAACGGCGUCGGGCCCUGUGCGGUGCAGACCUGCGAACCCCGUCAGGCCCGGGAGGGAGCAGCGGUAAGUAGGCACCUGCAGGUGCCACAGACCAACCCGGCGGAUGUCCCUAGGCGCGUCCGGCCUUGUGUUGGCUUCGAUGGGUGGUGCACGG
rnacentral:SRP_RNA from 1 species